CAGGGAAGGACUGAAAGGUCUGCCCAGCCCUGGCCUUCCAGUCAGCAGGGAAGGAGGAGGGAUGCAUGGAAGUGAUGUUGAUGUUCAUCAUGCCUUACAUGGAUUUACAAACUCAAAGCUCUGAGCCAAGGUUUCAUCAGGGAUUUUUGCUACAGACAGUUUAACUAUAGCUGUAAUCAAUAACAACUGCUGAGUAGUGAGCAGACAAGAUAUGCUGCAAAGAAAGUGGGCAAAUUUCAUCGGAACAGAGGUUGGACAGUAAA
rnacentral:lncRNA from 1 species